AGGAAGGAGAAGUCGUAACAAGGUUUCCGUAGGUGAACCUGCGGAAGGAUCAUUCGCACGCAUCCAAACGAACCAUUGUGAAUAAUUGGCGUGAGGUUCUGCAUGGGGAUGGAGAUUGCAUCAAUUCCCCCAUGCAGAAGCUUGAGGGCGGCAGGGCAGGAUGGGUGCUUGUCACCUCCUUUCUGUUCGCGUCGUCAUGUACCUUGCAUGUUGAUAUUUUACAUCUCAUGUACUCUGGAGUGCUUGGUCACUUCUUUUCUUCCUUACAACUUUCAGCGACGGAUGUCUCGGCUCGAACAACGAUGAAGGGCGCAGCGAAGUGUGAUAAGCAUUGUGAAUUGCAGAAUUCCGUGAACCAAUAGGGACUUGAACGUACACUGCGCUUUCGGGAUAUCCCUGAAAGCAUGCCUGCUUCAGUGUCUAUUCCAUCUUCUGCCAGCGACGUCUUCCACCUCGUGUGGUGCAGUUGCUUGCGCGUGCUUGUGCGUUAAGGAGCUCUGCUGCCCCUGACGCAUUUAGUGCAUGGGGAUUUUCCGUGACUUGCAACUUACCAAGCAUUGCUGAUGCGAGUUGUUGCUGGGUCAUUGGAAAGAGCCUCUGCAUGUAGUAUUUCUAAUACUUCUCCAAGACAUGAAGUUAGGUCAGCAAACCCGCUGAAUUUAA
rnacentral:rRNA from 1 species